rnacentral:tRNA from 1 species
GUUCGAGUAACUCAGUGGUAGAGUAUCCGAUUGCAAAGCCCCACGGGCGCAAGUAUCGGGAAGUCCGGAGUUCAAUCCUCCGCUCGAACU